rnacentral:rRNA from 1 species
CCUACGGGAGGCAGCAGUGGGGGAUAUUGCACAAUGGGGGAAACCCUGAUGCAGCGACGCCGCGUGAGUGAAGAAGUAUUUCGGUAUGUAAAGCUCUAUCAGCAGGGAAGAAAAUGACAGUACCUGAGCAAGAAGCCCCGGCUAACUACGUGCCAGCAGCCGCGGUAAUACGUAGGGGGCAAGCGUUAUCCGGAUUUACUGGGUGUAAAGGGAGCGUAGGCGGGUCUGUAAGUCUGGUGUGAAAGACCGGGGCACAACCCCGGGACUGCAUUGGAAACUGUGUAGCUGGAGUGCAGGAGGGGCAGGCGGAAUUCCUGGUGUAGCGGUGAAAUGCGUAGAUAUUAGGAGGAACACCAGCGGCGAAGGCGGCCUGCUGGACUGUAACUGACGUUGAGGCUCGAAAGCGUGGGGAGCAAACAGGAUUAGAUACCCUUGUAGUC